rnacentral:pre_miRNA from 1 species
UUGAUUUAAAUCAUUGUGGGUCUACACUUUGAAAAUUGAACUCACAUAAAGUGAAAGGACAUACAUUGAUUUUAUCCAA